AACUUUUAACAACGGAUCUCUUGGCUCUCGCAUCGAUGAAGAACGCAGCGAAAUGCGAUAAGUAAUGUGAAUUGCAGUAUUCAGUGAAUCAUCGAAUCUUUGAACGCAUCUUGCGCUCCUUGGUAUUCCGAGGAGCAUGCCUGUUUGAGUGUCAUUCAACUUCUCAACCACAUUCGUUCAUUGAUUGUGGCUUGGAUGGUGGGGGUUUAUUUGCAGGCUUCUUCUGUGAAAACAGAAAGGUCGGCUCCCCUGAAAUGUAUCAGUGGUAUCUGAGGCUAUUGCUAUAGGUGUGAUAAUUAUCUAUGCCCUUGGUAUGCCGCAUGGAACUGCUUCCAACAGAGAUGAUCUUUUUGAUGAAUUUGACCUCAAAUCAGGUAGGACUACCCGCUGAACUUAAGCAUAUCAUAAGCGGAGGCU
rnacentral:misc_RNA from 1 species